rnacentral:rRNA from 1 species
AGGCCUAAUACAUGCAAGUCGAGCGGUAACAGAAAGUAGCUUGCUACUUUGCUGACGAGCGGCGGACGGGUGAGUAAUGCUUGGGAACAUGCCUUGAGGUGGGGGACAACAGUUGGAAACGACUGCUAAUACCGCAUAAUGUCUACGGACCAAAGGGGGCUUCGGCUCUCGCCUUUAGAUUGGCCCAAGUGGGAUUAGCUAGUUGGUGAGGUAAUGGCUCACCAAGGCAACGAUCCCUAGCUGGUUUGAGAGGAUGAUCAGCCACACUGGAACUGAGACACGGUCCAGACUCCUACGGGAGGCAGCAGUGGGGAAUAUUGCACAAUGGGCGAAAGCCUGAUGCAGCCAUGCCGCGUGUGUGAAGAAGGCCUUCGGGUUGUAAAGCACUUUCAGUCAGGAGGAAAGGGUGUGAGUUAAUACCUCAUAUCUGUGACGUUACUGACAGAAGAAGCACCGGCUAACUCCGUGCCAGCAGCCGCGGUAAUACGGAGGGUGCGAGCGUUAAUCGGAAUUACUGGGCGUAAAGCGUACGCAGGCGGUUUGUUAAGCGAGAUGUGAAAGCCCCGGGCUCAACCUGGGAACUGCAUUUCGAACUGGCAAACUAGAGUGUGAUAGAGGGUGGUAGAAUUUCAGGUGUAGCGGUGAAAUGCGUAGAGAUCUGAAG